CGCGGCCUAUCAGCUUGUUGGCGGGGUAAUGGCCCACCAAGGCGACGACGGGUAGCUGGUCUGAGAGGAUGGCCAGCCACAUUGGGACUGAGAGACGGCCCAGACUCCUACGGGAGGCAGCAGUGGGGAAUCUUGCGCAAUGGCCGAAAGGCUGACGCAGCGACGCCGCGUGUGGGAGGACGCCUUUCGGGGUGUAAACCACUGUUGCCCGGGACGAAUAUCCUGUUGGGACAGGAUUGACGGUACCGGGUGAGGAAGCACCGGCUAACUCCGUGCCAGCAGCCGCGGUAAUACGGAGGGUGCGAGCGUUGUCCGGAAUCAUUGGGCGUAAAGGGCGCGUAGGUGGCGGGACAAGCGUGCGGUGAAAGCUCGGGGCUCAACCCCGCGUCGGCCGUGCGAACUGUUUUGCUGGAGCACUGUAGAGGCAGGCGGAAUUCCGGGUGUAGCGGUGGAAUGCGUAGAGAUCCGGAAGAACACCGGUGGCGAAGGCGGCCUGCUGGGCAGUUGCUGACACUGAGGCGCGACAGCGUGGGGAGCAAACAGGAUUAGAUACCCUGGUAGUCCACGCCGUAAACGAUGGGCACUAGGCGCUUGGGGGAGCGACCCCCCGAGGGCCGUAGCUGACGCAUUAAGUGCCCCGCCUGGGGAGUACGG
rnacentral:rRNA from 1 species